rnacentral:tRNA from 1 species
AGAAGUUUAGGUUAACUUAGACCAAAAGCCUUCAAAGCUUUAAGUAAGUCAUCACAGACUUAACUUCUG